rnacentral:rRNA from 1 species
GACGAACGCUGGCGGCGUGCCUAAUACAUGCAAGUCGAGCGAAUCUUUGGGAGCUUGCUCCUAAAGGUUAGCGGCGGACGGGUGAGUAACACGUGGGCAACCUGCCUAUAAGACUGGGAUAACUUCGGGAAACCGGAGCUAAUACCGGAUAAUCCAUUUCACCUCAUGGCGAAAUGUUGAAAGGCGCUUCGGCGUCACUACAGGAUGGGCCCGCGGUGCAUUAGCUAGUUGGUGGGGUAACGGCCUACCAAGGCAACGAUGCAUAGCCGACCUGAGAGGGUGAUCGGCCACAUUGGGACUGAGACACGGCCCAAACUCCUACGGGAGGCAG